CUUUACUGUAGCUUUGUAUUGAAUUUUGAACAGAUCUGUGUAGGAUAGGUGGGAGGCUUUGAAGCCGGGACGCUAGUUCCGGUGGAGCCAACGUUGAAAUACCACCCUGGUGUGUUUGAGGUUCUAACCUAGGUCCAUUAUCUGGAUCGGGGACAGUGCAUGGUAGGCAGUUUGACUGGGGCGGUCUCCUCCCAAAGUGUAACGGAGGAGUUCGAAGGUACGCUAGGUACGGUCGGACAUCGUGCUAAUAGUGCAAUGGCAUAAGCGUGCUUAACUGCGAGACUGACAAGUCGAGCAGAUGCGAAAGCAGGACAUAGUGAUCCGGUGGUUCUGUAUGGAAGGGCCAUCGCUCAACGGAUAAAAGGUA
rnacentral:rRNA from 1 species